AUUGAACGCUGGCGGCAUGCCUAACACAUGCAAGUCGAACGCGAAAGGGCUUCGGCCUGAGUAGAGUGGCGGACGGGUGAGUAAUGCAUCGGAAUCUGCCUUGAGGUGGGGGACAACGCAGGGAAACUUGGGCUAAUACAGCAUGACCUCGAGAGAGCAAAGUGGGGGACCCGCGAGGGCCUCAUGCCUUGGGUGGAGCCGAUGUCCGAAUAGCUAGUUGGUGGGGUAAGGGCUUACCAAGGCGAUGAUCGGUAGCUGGUCUGAGAGGAUGAUCAGCCACACUGGGACUGAGCCACGACACAGACUCCUACGGGAGGCAGCAGUGGGUAAUAUUGGACAAUGGGGGCAACCCUGAUCCAGCAAUGCCGCGUGUGUGAAGAAGGCCUGCGGGUUGUAAAGCACUUUUGUCCGGGAAGAAAGGACCUGACCUAAUACGUUGGGGGGAUGACGGUACCGGAAGAAUAAGCACCGGCUAACUUCGUGCCAGCCGCCGCAGUAA
rnacentral:rRNA from 1 species